rnacentral:tRNA from 1 species
GCGGGUGUAGCUCAGUUGGUAGAGCGUCAGCUUCCCAAGCUGAAGGUCGUCGGUUCGAGACCGAUUACCCGCUCCA